rnacentral:rRNA from 1 species
CUUGCUCUCUGAUUCAGCGGCGGACGGGUGAGUAAUGCCUAGGAAUCUGCCUGGUAGUGGGGGACAACGUUUCGAAAGGAACGCUAAUACCGCAUACGUCCUACGGGAGAAAGCAGGGGACCUUCGGGCCUUGCGCUAUCAGAUGAGCCUAGGUCGGAUUAGCUAGUUGGUGAGGUAAUGGCUCACCAAGGCGACGAUCCGUAACUGGUCUGAGAGGAUGAUCAGUCACACUGGAACUGAGACACGGUCCAGACUCCUACGGGAGGCAGCAGUGGGGAAUAUUGGACAAUGGGCGAAAGCCUGAUCCAGCCAUGCCGCGUGUGUGAAGAAGGUCUUCGGAUUGUAAAGCACUUUAAGUUGGGAGGAAGGGCAGUAAAUUAAUACUUUGCUGUUUUGACGUUACCGACAGAAUAAGCACCGGCUAACUCUGUGCCAGCAGCCGCGGUAAUACAGAGGGUGCAAGCGUUAAUCGGAAUUACUGGGCGUAAAGCGCGCGUAGGUGGUUUGUUAAGUUGGAUGUGAAAGCCCCGGGCUCAACCUGGGAACUGCAUUCAAAACUGACAAGCUAGAGUAUGGUAGAGGGUGGUGGAAUUUCCUGUGUAGCGGUGAAAUGCGUAGAUAUAGGAAGGAACACCAGUGGCGAAGGCGACCACCUGGACUGAUACUGACACUGAGGUGCGA